rnacentral:lncRNA from 10 species
AGGACUAUGUAUAUGAAGACCACACCAGCUAGAAGCUUAACUCAAGGUUUCAUUGUUUUAAAGGACUUAAUAUUCUUCUAGUUUAUGCAGAAUCUCACUGGGUAAAGUUGCAGAAAAAAAUUCUAGAAUAGAAGAGAACAGUUUGGAAUAUGUAAUUCAACUAUUUCUAAGUAAUAGAGAAAGGCAACAAAAAUGUCAAUAUUACAGGCAUCAAAUACUUUAGCUAAUCAGGUAAUGUUAUUGAGUUGGAAGCUGACCCUAUCACCAUAGGUAUCUGUUUUCCUAAGUUACUCAUCUUAACCGCUGAUUCACACUGUUCACCCUCCCACUCGGCAGUGGAAGUUAAAUGGCUUGUGAUUCACAAUCUCAGCCUUAGAGAAGAGAUUUGUAAUAACAGAUGUUUAUAAUGUGCCUCUAGUUUCCCUUGGCCUUCUCUUCCUCCUCACUAAAUCCCUCAUUCUAGACCAUGGAAUUUUACAAGGGACUUGAUGUCCUUGGGUCUUGCUGAGACAGAAGAUAUUCACAAAGGCUUGGACGAAAAGCUCCUCAGCCAUCAAAUUGGCUAAUUCAUUCCAGAUUAUGCUGAAUGUAAGCUCUCCAGACGAAGAAACCAUCAUCUAACACAGGGGUGAGGUGGGGCACGGUGACGGGAGGAUCAGAUGAAGAGGAGUCAGCAGUAAUAACGGAAAAGGAAGGCCCAGGGUGAUUGGAGAAAAGCCAGGACAGUGUGAGGACUCUAAGCCCAGCAUUAGAACUUCAAGAAGAAUGGAGAGGUCAACAAUGUCAAAUUCUCCAACAUCUGAGGAAGAGAGCAAGAUGAAAGCAUUGGGUUUAGAAAUGUGAAUGUAAUUGAUGAGCUUGCUAAGGUAGUUUCAGAGGGACGAUAGUGAAAAAACAAAAAGAUAAAGCCUGUGCUCGGUAAAAAUUUAGAGAAAAGGAAAAUUUAAAGUAGGGACUUCGGUGGCUGACUGGUCAUUUUUUGAAAGGCCUCUCGGUGAGGGGAAGGAGAAAGAGAUAAUUGGAGCCAGAGGGACGUGCAAGGUUGGUGGCAUUUGUUAUUAAGACCACAUCAGCUAGAGGCUUAAACCCA